rnacentral:rRNA from 1 species
AUUGAACGCUGGCGGCAGGCCUAACACAUGCAAGUCGAGCGAGUGGCGGACGGGUGAGUAAUGUCUGGGAAACUGCCUGAUGGAGGGGGAUAACUACUGGAAACGGUAGCUAAUACCGCAUACCAUCAGAUGUGCCCAGAUGGGAUUAGCUUGUUGGUGGGGUAACGGCUCACCAAGGCGACGAUCCCUAGGUGGUCUGAGAGGAUGACCAGCCACACUGGAACUGAGACACGGUCCAGACUCCUACGGGAGGCAGCAGUGGGGAAUAUUGCACAAUGGGAGCAAGCCUGAUGCAGCCAUGCCGCGUGUAUGAAGAAGGCCUUAGGGUUGUAAAGCACUUUAAGUUGGGAGGCGUUACCAACAGAAGAAGCACCGGCUAACUUCGUGCCAGCCGCCGCGGUAAUAC